UCCCUGGUGGCUUAGUCGGUAGAGAAUUCGCCUGCAAUGUGGGAGACCUGGGUUCAGUCCCUGGCUUGGGAA
rnacentral:tRNA from 1 species